rnacentral:rRNA from 1 species
UAGGGAAUCUUCGGCAAUGGACGAAAGUCUGACCGAGCAACGCCGCGUGAGUGAAGAAGGUUUUCGGAUCGUAAAACUCUGUUGUUAGAGAAGAACAAGGACGUUAGUAACUGAACGUCCCCUGACGGUAUCUAACCAGAAAGCCACGGCUAACUACGUGCCAGCAGCCGCGGUAAUACGUAGGUGGCAAGCGUUGUCCGGAUUUAUUGGGCGUAAAGCGAGCGCAGGCGGUUUCUUAAGUCUGAUGUGAAAGCCCCCGGCUCAACCGGGGAGGGGCAUUGGAAACUGGGAGACUGAAGUGCAGAAGAGGAGGGUGGAAUUCCAUGUGUAGCGGUGAAAUGCGUAGAUAUAUGGAGGAACACCAGUGGCGAAGGCGGCUCUCUGGUCUGUAACUGACGCUGAGGCUCGAAAGCGUGGGGAGCAAACAGG